CGGUACAGAAGGAGCGACAUGGGAGACUGAGGAGUCAAUGAGAGAGUUGUACCCCCACCUUUUUGAUCAAGUCUUGUAAGGUUUAAAUUUCGAGGACGAAAUUUUUAUAAGAGGGGAAGAGUUGUGACAUCCAGAAUUUUCAGUAUUGUUUUCUAUUAAAUUAAUCGGGCAUUUCAUUGACGUGUUUAUAAGGUUGUUCUCAGAGCUGAUCACUCUCGAGAUAACUAGACUAGCUGGGUAAGCCAUUAAAGAAUAUUAAGGCAAUAGACUUGAGAAUUCGACCAGGAAGCGGCUUCUCGACCGUGUUCAUCUUUAGAGGUCAUUACUGCACAGUAAAGAUCGAAUUGAGAUCAGAGAUAGGUCGGUUCGACUGAGAUGUGUGGCCGAUCGUGGGUGACUCCACUAAAUUGGAAAAUUCUCGUCGACCGGCACUAAUUUGAUUUUCUGUCGUUUUGGUACCCUGUGUUAGUAGUCGAGCCCUCGAGAUUUUCACGACAAUUGAGAGUCGCCAAUGUGUCGAGUGGGUUCACUGUGGCUCGAAGAAAAUCGACCACGAGUCAAUUGCCCUAAAAAGUUCUGAAAACUACCCGGUAGUCUAGGUCACACUAAAAGCACGCCGGAGUGAAAUUAACCGUCGAUUUGAGUCAGAUUUCAGAAAUCGAAAGUUCAGUGAUGUCACAAGCUAUUUUAAGAACGUCGACUCAGUCUCAGAAGAUUUUCGGAGAUUCGGGAAAUUUUACGGAAAUUGGAUUCGGACGUCGUGGAAGUUUGGCCGAAGUUCAGAUUGGCUAAAUUAAUGGGAAAUUGGACUUUCAGAUUGAGCCGUUGUGUGUCAGGGAUUUAUAGAAAAUCAUUUGGGAUUUUUCUACGUCGAAAUUGGACCUCAAUUUGGGAGUUUAUUGGAGAAGUUGAAGUCAAAUGGUGAAAUUCGUAUCAUCCCCUUCCCCUAGCCCAAAAUUGACCAAUUGAGAAGUUGUGAGAGUUGUUGGUGUGGCCAAAUGAAGGCCAAGGUUUAAUACUUGGCCUAGAUUGAUUGUUGAAGAUAUUUCUUGUGGAAAAUUGACAAGGAUGGCCCACCCUCUCUCUUAUCUCCUUCCUCGCGCACGGCUCCUCUUCAUUUGUUUCUCUGCGGUCUCAGCUUCUGCUUCAUUUUCUUUCGGUCAAAGUCCAGCCCAGCAAAGCCUCCUCCGUGUUUGUGUCUUCAUCAACCCACGAUCUGGGUCAAUUUCCCCACCGUGUGAAGUCCUUGGUUGACCUCUUGAAGCCUCGAUCCCACCGAGCUGGUCGGCCACUCACGCCAGCGAAGACCCCUGCAGCAGCUCCACCGAAAUUCUUUUUCUUCCGCUUCGUUGAAGAUUGAUCGUCCACGAAGCUGCUCCAAGCAUCCACGCGGCCAGCGCACGCCAGUCAACUCCAAGCCUUCUUCUCUUCAAUUUGUUGACCAAGCUGCCGCCAAGUUGAGCCAGCGAAGCGACGCUGAACGAAGCAACUCGCAGCCAGCUCGCCACCUCAACUGGUCUUCAUUCAGCGAGACCCACCGAGCGUCCUUCACUCUGCCAGCACACCAGUCAACACGGCAGAACGUUGUUGACUCCCCGGAGCCCACAACCCACCGAGAACUCAGCAUCCACGAAGCCACGCCCACGCCCUCAGCUCUCUGCCACUCGCCCGCUCAGCCACUCGUCCACGUAAAUUAAGCAGCGAUUAAAGCUGCUUCCCAUCCCCACGGACGUUCAUCGCCAGCUUGCACGAAGCCAGUCGCAAGCUCAGCCUUCAGCCCAGCAAAAUUCGGUCCAAUUGAGGGCCAUUUCAAGCCCAGCGAAGCCAGCAAUCUCGGCCCAAAUUUUCAGUCUUCAAGCCCAGCGAAUUUUUGUCUAGCUGGGCCCAAUCACCCAGCAGCUAAGCCACUUGAAGCCCGGCCCAGUUCAGUUUGUUUCAAGUCCAUCUUCAGCCCAAGUCCAGCCCGCGAAGAGGCCCAAUCGCAGCAAGCCCAAGCCCAAGAGCGAGCCCAGUGCAGUGCAAGAACAAAUCUCAGUUGGGCUGAGAUUUGUUGGGCCAAGCCUAAGGCCCGGUCCAAGUUCGCCGGUGUCGUCGAAAGUCCUAUUUCGGCCGCCGUCGCGUCGCCGUUGCGGUGAUUCGGUCUCCGCUUUUGCCAAGUGAGUUUUACUCACUAAUGCUUUAUUAGUUGGCUAAUUAUGCUUAAGGUUGGUUAGAUUUAAUUAAGUGCAAUUAGGUGGUUAGAUUAGGUUAGAACAAUUAGUUUAGUGACUUAAUGAUGCAUGUUAGGUGGUUAGACCUAGCUAUUAGCAAGUAGAAAUGUUUGGUUAUUUAUUGAAUGCAUCUCGGGAUUUUUCCCGACCCGUUUCGGGCUCCAAUCAGGCAAUAUGGGCCUAAAUUGGAUUUUUAAUGUUUAUUUAUUUAUUUUCGAAAUUUAUUUAUUUAAUUAAUUAUUUUUCCGGAAAUUCAACCGGGAUGGCCGGUGACCGGAAUUUCGUGCCGAUUGUCGUGGUGCAGACCGUUUAUUUAUUUGAGCUCUACGUUGUGUGGAAUUGAAUUUAUUGUGGAAUUUUAAGAAUUGCCCUAAAUUGUUUGUUAUUGAAUAUUUGAUUGGUUGUUGGCCGAAUAUGGGUAUAUAGCGCCAGUACGUUGAUGGGCUAUAUAGUAGGGAGAAUGGUGAGACCAAUCAGGUACGAUAUUAUUGGACAUACGUGGUUCGGUGAUUGGAAGUAUCACUGGCGAAAACGGCGCCUUAAAGAACGCACGUAAAUGACUUAUAGACACACGUGGUUCGGUGGUUAUGGGAAUAUCACUGGUGAAAACGGCGCCUUAAAGAACGCACGAUGUUGUCUAUAGCCGAUGUCACCUUGGCGAAAACGGCGCCCUUGAAAGGACACGUGGUUCGGUGAUCAAGGUUAUCACUGGUGAAAACGGCGCCUUAAAGAACGCACGGUGUCGGUGAUCGGUAUGUCAUUGGCGAAAACGACGCCCGAGAAACACAUGUGAUUUGGUGAAUGAGUACACCACUGAGAAAGCGUGGUAUGAGUGGGAAUGACCUAGAAAGGGUCUGACUGACAUGUAAUCGACUUAGUUGAUUGAUCAAUGCUUGAUCGGAUGUCGUGAAUUGUUUGAAUACUUGUGUUUAACCUUGAAUUGCAGGUUGGAACUGAGGCCAAGGUAAGUCCUCUGACUCGUGUUGUGCUUAGGCAACCGGAUGGCGUAUUAGUUUAUUAAUCGAGUCUUAGUGGGUAGGACUCGCUGAGACGUGGUCUCAUUGGUUAUUGAAUAACCAUUUCAGGACCCUGAGGAAAAGCUGAGGAGGGAGAACCUGAAGGGGAGAAAGACUUAAGAAGAAGAAGAAGAUCCAGAGAGGGAUCUUGAUUAUAACCCAGAUGUGGAUUGGGAUCCCAUCCUUUUUGUGAACCCUGUUUUAGUGUAGAUAGGUGUGAGACUUUUAUGCUGUAAAUAGUAUUGUAAAUAUACUAUGAGUGGUGAUGUUAGAGAAAGUGUGGUUGUGAAUUUCAAUAUGAAAAAUAUGGCCUGCUUUCCUAUCCCAUUGUUUUAUUGUCUGGGGAUUUAUAACUGCUUCCGC
rnacentral:lncRNA from 1 species